rnacentral:rRNA from 1 species
UACGUAGGGUGCGAGCGUUAAUCGGAAUUACUGGGCGUAAAGCGUGCGCAGGCGGUGAUGUAAGACAGAUGUGAAAAUCCCCGGGCUCAACCUGGGACCUGCAUUUGUGACUGCAUCGCUAGAGUACGGCAGAGGGGGAUGGAAUUCCGCGUGUAGCAGUGAAAUGCGUAGAUAUGCGGAGGAACACCGAUGCGAAGGCAAUCCCCUGGGCCUGUACUGACGCUCAUGCACGAAAGCGUGGGGAGCAAACAGG